AUAUAUAUAUAUUUGGAACUUUUUAUUUUUGAAUUAGAACAACAACAUUUACAUGGAGAUGCAUUUGAGUUUCUUCUUCCCUUCUCCAGGGCAGUGUUUCCCUGAACAAAGUUCGAAUUUCCUUGUGUUCAUAAGAUCUAUCCAACUUAACCAAAUCACCAAUCAGUACAUAUAGUUCUGACAAGCUUUCUCUGUAUUCAUCUUAUCUGCUCUCUACUACAUUCUACAUUUUACUUUGAUCUAGCUAAAUAACUCACCCAAAAGACAAAAAUACAUUAAAAAAAUAAAUAAAAAUUAAUAAUAAUAAUUUUCACAUGAGAGUACUAUCUUUCUAACAUUUGUUUUAUUGGUUCCCAAAUUUUUUCAAAUGUCCCUAGUCCCAGUCAUAGUCUUGCAUUAAUUUGUUCCAUUUUGUAGACCUGUCUAACUCUGUCUCUCCACUGUGCCACCCUUGGGGGUUCUGUGUCCAGCCAUAAAACUGUAAUACACUUCUUGGCAGUCAUAAGCAGAAUUCUGAUUACGUAUGUCUCCAUUAUGUGUGUAUGAUUUUUGGUACAGCAUUUCCAGUACAAACCAUUUUAACUUAAAUUGUAAUUUCACCUUCAAGGUUCUUUCAAUUUCUCCCUAACACCUUCCCAGAAUGGUAUGAAUUUAGGGCAGUCCAAAAGUAUAUGUGAAAAGUCUCCCACUAGCCCGCAUUUUCUCCAACAUAAAUUUGAAACAUUACUAUUUAGAUAUGAUAAGUGGAGUUUUAAAGCAUGCAUCUUCACCUUCCAUUCAAAUUCCCUCCAAGAUGGACUAUUAGUUAGGUUAUGGCCUGCUUCAAGUGUUUCCUCCCAUUCCUCAUCUGUUAUCAUUAUGUUCACUUCCAGUUCCCAUUUUUCUUUAAUAUCUAUAUUCUUAACAAUCAAAUCCUGUUGUAAAGCUUUAUAUAUUUUGAAAUCAGUCCUUUUUGACAUGUCCUUUCUGUUUAACAUAAUCACUUCCUCCAUAUUAAGUUUAUCCUUGCUUGAAACUUUGCCUUAUUUUGAAAUAACUACUCUGUCUGUCUGUCCUAAAUAACAUAUUAAGCAUGAAAUUACGAAUUAUUGUGAAAUUACACUAACAGGAAGUGCUUUUAUUUUGUAGCAUUUGCUCAGUCAGCUCUCGAAGCUUCUCAGCAGACGGAGAAGAGCAAGGGUUGGAGGUCACCUCCAGGAGGUGCAUUAACCGUUGACGGUCGCGCUUUAGUUCUGCAUCUGCACUUGACAGUCACUGGUUCUGCACCACUGAGCUAAAUAUGUGUAAAUGUAGAGCAUCUGCGUUCCUAUGAGCUGUCAGCCACACCGGGAAGCCUGUCUAUGAAUCUAAAGUCAGACUUCAAUGAUCCAACCCCACUCUCUGCACACAAGAUUGAUGGCAUGCUGCUGUUGACCCCCAAGAGGUUCAUACAAGUGAGACCACUGGAAUUACAUGAUGUCCACACAAGGCGUACCACUGUUCUCCAUGCCCUUCCUGUCUAUCUACGUGAGGAAACCUCUGGGUUUUUGAGGACAUGUGUGGAUGAUACCAAUGAGCCGGACCUCAGGGAUGCAGCAGUUGUCCUCCUGACAACCAUCACCGAUGAUGCCGAGAGUCCAGUUACGUACGACCCAGUGAGAAUCUCUGUUAUCCCAGAGGGUGAUGUGAUUGUCAACCUCUCCAGCCUUCCUGAUGCCUUCCUGGGCAUGCUCAGUUGAAGUUUCCAUCUCUGCGCGUUCAAGAUGUAAGAAAAAUAACACGAAAGAAAUGCAACAAUGAAAACUUCAAAAAGGCAUCAACAACCAAGCAAGUGGAUCCAUAAAAUGGACUGAUUUUUGUAAAGGCAUUUUUAAAAAGUCUUUCAAAAUGGACAGAACUAACGCGUCAUGUUCAGAACAGUUUGUGUUCUCAUCUUUGAUUAAUCCUGGUAAACAGGUCUGUUUUUGUUCUGUUCUAAUUCUCUCUGUUUAAUAAAUUUAAACAAAAUGACUUAGCUAUUUUAUUUAAUUUUUUUUUUCUCUGCAUAAAGACGAAGUAUCAGUAAAUAGUGGAAAGUAAAUGUAUUGGUAGUAAGCAUAUAGCAGAUGUUAAAUGUUACUUGCAGUAUGUGUUUAUAGAAAAAAUAGAGAUACUUAAAUGUACUAAAAGAAUAUUACGUCAAGUUUACUGUAAAGUGUACUUUCAAAACUGUAAGUAUACUCAAUUAUAUAAGAAGUACACUACAAGUAAACAUAUAUUAUUACUUUAAGUAUAAUUUUAAGUAUACAUUCAAAGAGAAAAGUAUACUCUAUUAUUUCAGAAGUACACUACAAGUAAACUUAUAAUGUUAAUUAAAGUUUAUUUUUAAGUAUACUUUCAAAGGCAAAAGUUUACUCAAUUUUAUUAGAAGUAAACUUAUACUGUUACUUUUAAGUAUACUUUCAAUGAGAAAAGUAUACUCAACUAUAUCAGGAGUACACUACAAGUAAACUUAUAUUGUUACUUUUAAGUAUACUUCCAAGGAGAAAAGUAUACUCAAUUAUAUCAGAUGUACACUACAAGUAAACUUAUAAGUAUACUUUCAAGGAGAAAAGUAUACUCAAUUAUAUCUGAAGUACUCUAUAAGUAAACUUAUAUUGUUACUUAAAGUAUAUUUUAAGUAUACAUUCAAGAAGAAAAGUAUACUCAAUUGUAUGAAAAGUAAACUUAUAUUGUUACUUUAAGUAUACUUUCAAGGACAAAAGUAUACUUAAUUAUAUCAGAAGUACACUCCAAGUACACUUGUGAUGUUACUUUAAGUAUACUUUCAAAGAGAAAAUUAUACUCAAUUAUAUCUGAAGUACACUACAAAUAAACUUAAAUUAUUACUUUGAAGUAUACUUGUAGUAUACUUCAAGUAUACUUUUAGCAGCCCAAUUUAGUCCCAAGGAGUAUACUUCUAAGUAAACUUCAAGAACAAGUAUGCAAAUAAACUUCUGUAUACUUAAGUAUACUUGAAAUUAGAUACUUAAAGUAUACUUCUUUUUCGUAAGGGCAAGCACACUGCUUUACCUUUUAUUUCUGUGAAGCAAUACUUGGCGGUCCACGUCUUGUUAAAAACACGACAUUCGUUAUCAACUUUCCUUUUCUUAGAGUGUGCUGGCAUCUUGAGGGUAAAGUCAAUUUCUUCUUCUCCGUCAGUGUUGUUAUGAAGGCACGCAGCGUCGGCGCAAGGGCUCUCUCUGACACGCUUGCGGAGUCUGACGGAGACAUGCCCCCUCCCCCUAAAUGUCCGUCGAGAAUGUGGGAGAGCGCAUGCCUGUAAUUGAUCGGCACACUGUUUCCUUUCACAUACGCCACAUUUGUUGCUAUUCACCGACCCCUUCACUCAAUGCUCACACGCGGGCCAGAAGGAGAUGCACCAAGGGCAUCACUUGGUGCAGUUCCACUAAAAGAGUAUUUACCUGCAAAACAGCCUGUUAGCUCAGCUUUCUGCUGCUUCCUCUGUAGCAAGUUAGCAGUACACAGGUUAGCUGCAAAGUCUCUGAUGUUCCACAGGUUCCUGAAAAAUUAGCAAACUUAUUAACAUAAACUGCAAUAAUUUAUUCCAUGAAACCAGUAAUGAAUAUGUUAAGAUGAGUUUUUAAUACGUCUCUCUGGAACAGUAGACCAUUGUCCUGAGGCUAGCACAAUGGCUUGCUUAGCAGCUAGCUAGUGAACUAACGUCUGGUUAAAACCAACUUAAAAAGUGGUUUAACUUACAGAUUAACUAAGAAAAGAUAAAAUAUAUUAUCAAUACUCACUUUAGAUCCUCAGUAGACACCACAGACAGCAGAAAUAACGUGUUUGGGGCUCAAAAUUCAUGUUGUUGACCAGGUGGAAAAAAAAAAAGUCUUGGAGGCUACAUCACUUCCAGGUCACUGAACUGUCACUCAAGAGAAACCACUGUCCUAUGGGAGAGGACUUCUCAGAAGUCCCGCCCACCCGAAAGGGUUGUGUCAGAAUUGCAACCAAAAACUCAGGGAUUGCAAAGGAGAAAGCCAGACAGUGUAAGUGCAAAUCUGGUAGUGAGAGCAAAGCUCUGAGCAGCGAGAACAAAACUAAGGAAAUUGAUAACAAAAAUACAUAGAGGCAAACAGUAAAAGGAAACAUACUUUGUUACUCAUUUUAAGAAGUUGAUUCAGAUAGUAAGUUUUACUUUUGAAACACGUUUUUUUCCUUUAGUCAAUAUUUUUGUUCUGUCAAUUUUUUAAUGUUUGUUUGACCGUCAAAGUGUUUUUCUUGAUCAUUUUAAGAAUCUGAUUCAGAUUGUAAGUUUUUCUUUUGAAACCAAUGUUUUUUCUCUCAAUGUCUUAAAAUUUGUUUGCUCCCCAAAGUGUUUUUCUUGAUCCUAUUGGCACAAAUCUAAUCCCAUAUAUGUGUUUCAAAUAGAAUUAGAAAAAAGGGUUGUCUUUGUGCGUCUGAAUAGAUUUUGCUCGUUUCGGAGGAUAUUGACUCUGAAGACGGUCUGUGUGUGUGCUGCGUGCAGAGCAUGUGCCUGUGAGUUGGCUCUGUGUGUAAGGUGUCUAUUUUGACUUCAACUUUACUGAGGUUUUGUUGUGUCUGAAUGUGAAUGUAAGCAUGAAUGUCGAUAUGAUGUAAUAAUGAUGAUGCCGGUGUCCGAUCCCUGCAUCGGGACAGGGGUGUAAACCAUUGAAAGUCAAAUAGGGUCAUUUAGAAAAGAGAUAGAGGGGAAAAAGAGAUUCUCUCCAGGGGCUGUCAGGCUCCAUUUAAAGCUGUUAUAGCAAAUCCACAUUUGAACAGCUUCAUUUGGCCUGAAAUUAAUGUCUUGUGCUAUUUAAAUUUUCUAAAGAAGUACAUGCUAUGGAUAAGCAUUAAUAUGGUAAGGACAGUAAAGAAAAUGGCCAGUAACCGUAAAAAAUGACUGUGAAAUUUACAUAAAAAUGGUGUCAAUACACAACAGAAAUGUACUGUAAACUACAUAACACACAUUUUCUGUUGCAAUCACAGUAAAUGUUUGGAAAAAAUAAAUAAAUCAAAUACAUAUAAAACAAUAUAUUUAUGUAUAUCUACAUUAACAUCAUGUGGAAAAUAACCCAUUUAUUUAUUUAAUCAACAAACAGUGGUAAUCAAUACAGAAAAACACUGUAAUACUUAUAACUAGGGAUGAGCAAGUACACUACUAUCUGUAUCUGUAUCUGUUUAACCAACUAAAUUAUCUGUAUCUGUAUCUGUACUCGGAAUGGGCGUGGCAUAACCCGGAAGUGGGCGUGGUAUAACCGGAAGUGGGUGUGGUUUACAUCAAUAUAUUAUUUUAAGUCUGAAAUUGAUAUGGAUUGAUCAGAAGUUGCUAUGUGUAUUAUUUAUUUGAAAACUAUUUACAGAGCAGCCUCAGAAUUGAGAUUAAAUAUUUUUGAUCACAAUAGUAAAGGAACUAUUACAGAACAAGUUUUUCAAUAAAAUCAGAACAUUAAUAUUUAAGUGCAAGGAUUAAUACCAGGGAUGAGCCGGAUACUCGUUUCAGACGAGUAUCCGGUACGGAUAAAGCAUUUUUGACGAAUACGAGCAUGAAACGAGUAAAACGAGUCAAUAUCUGUAAUCGUGCUGAAGGAAAAUCCUCAUUGGGCAACUGACUGUCUUCACGCUCUGUGAUUGGCCAGUCACAUAGAGUGCCCGCCCCCUCCCUACACACAAAACUGCAGCCGGCCGGGAGCGCAGUCCGUCCGUCCGGCUCAUCCACGCACACACACAGACAGUAACGGAUCUCGCUGUGAUUGCUUCACUGUUUCUCACGUUUCUUCAGUUUUCUCUAGGUUUUCUUCAGCUCGCCUCUUUUUCAGUUGAAUUUUUAAAGUUACUUUUUUCGUAACUGACAUGGUGCAUUUGACCACAGUGUGUGUGUGUAGAUGAGCCGGACGGACUGCGCUCCCAGCCGGCUAGAGAGUUUUGUGUGUAGGGAGGGGCGGGCGCUCUAUGUGACUGGCCAAUCACAGAGCGUGAAGACAGUGAGUUACCCAAUGAGGAUUUUCCUUCAGCACGAUUACAGAUAUUUACGCGGUUUACUCGUUUCAUGCUCGUAUUCGUCAAAAAUGCUUUAUCCGUACCGGAUACUCGUCUGAAACGAGUAUCUGGCUCAUCCCUACUUAUAACAGAACAAAUUUUGACAAGAUUACAUCAAAAUAUUGUAAAAACUACAUUUUAUGCCAGUUCUUUUGAGAAUACAGAGAUCUGUAAGUCACUUUACAGGUUUAAGCUGUACAUUUAACACUAUUGAUUAAAUUAUGCCAAUUUUGAUUACAGAAAUAUUUUCAGUUAAAAAAUAUUAUUUAUAAUUGCAUCAUGAAACUGAGAAGUUAUGUGCUGCUGGGAUCAUGAGGGAGUCAAGACAAAUAUCAAAUGGCUACUCAACAAGUGACUAAUGGAUAGCUCAACUGGUAAAGCACCUGACCCAAGUUUAAAUCCAAGCUUGGACAAAUCCCAACAACCAAUCUUAGUCAUUAGUAAGACCCUUGCUGCUACUUACUACCUCACACCAUCAUACUACUGGCUGCAAUAUCACCUAACUAAAUAAGUUUUGAUUCAAGAAAGGGUUUAUUUAUAAACAACAUUGCUAUGAAAAAUUAAGUAUGGCUAUAAAUCAUGACUUAAGGAUAGUUUGAUAGCUGAUUAAAAGACUUAUAAAUUAAUAAAUAGAUAAAUUACAUUAUUUAAAACAGCGAGGACUAUGGUAAUACGUUUUAAUGGGGUUAAAAAUUAAUGCAAAGACAUUAAAAGUGUUGUAAAAACGGCAGAUUCUAAUAAAAACCGAUGAAUAAAGAUGCCUGAGAAAUUAACUGAAGCUGAGAUUGAGCUCAAUUGUCAAAGUAGCUGAAUUAUUGGCAGAAAUUUCCACUAUUACACAAAGAGCUUAAAAUAGAUGCAAUGUGUCUCCAUAUCACCAUGAGAGUGGAAACGGAGCUGGCCCAAGAUACAGUAAUGUUUUUUCAUGCUGGUCUGGUUCCUCUUUCCACUGAAUGGUUUUGCACUGAUAAAAAAAUCAUUUGUGUCAUGCGGCGUUGUUUUACCCACCACCAGCAUAACAAUGUUCCAGGCACAAGCCACUCCUCACAUCUCCUUGUCUAAACCUACAGAUAUCACGUGGCAGGAAGUUGGUGUGCAGACUAAAAUAGCCCACCAAGCCACAGACUACACCCAAGUUGAUAAAACAUGGUUUUAUAGUCAAAGCAGCCUUUCAACUUUUGGGACGCUUUGUGCUGCAUGACAUCGACUGGCCUAGAAAAACACAUAUUAUCUGAUAAGGACCUAAAAGAUCUAGAAAACAUACCUGAAACAUUAUGGUCAAAGGGUCUCACUGAUGUUGGUCUGAUAACAUCCAUACCACCAGAGCAGAUAAAACCUAAAUCUGACUGGAGGCCAUGAGUUUCUCGAUAUCCUCUAAAACCAGAAGCUGUGAAAGGGAUUCGGCCUCUAAUAGAUAAUUUGUAAAAAUUUGUUAAAAAUAUGAAGUAAAAUUAAAGUUAAAUAGUCAAACAUUUAUGAAAAGCUGAGUUGAAAUGCCCAGAAUAAUUAAAUCAGUAUUAAUCAGUUAACCUCCAACUGUGUAAGUUCUCCCACUUAAAACAUGGAGAGAGAGAAACAAAAAGAAGCUCCGAAGAACAGACGUUAACUCGUUGAUAAACAAAGGUGCACAGCUCAGUCCUGAAACACAAUCAUAUGACAUCAUUACAAGCCCAUCCUACCAAAAUCACUUUUUAACACUGCUGCAAUUUUGACACAUGGCCUACUAAUGUGUCAACAGGGGGGAUGGAAAAGCUAAUAAACAAGCAUUUUCAAACAUACCAUUUAACAACCUUCUUACAUUUUUUUGUGUGAAAUUAUCAGUAAUUUUGUUUCAGAAAACUUGAGGGAAAACAAUUUAGCAAUAUCAGAGUCACAAUCCUCAUCAGCCUCCAAUUUAGACCAGAAUCACUAACAUUUCAACUCAAAUUCAAUGUGCAACGCAUUCAUCUUAAAGACUAUUCCACAAAUCCUUCUGGUUGAUGGGGCUUGAAGCUUGAUCUCCUUCUGAAGUGGAAAACACUGCAGAAACGUAAUAGGGAAGAAUAGCUUAAACGUUUACAUAUAAGCAGAUAUUAUCCUAUUUAAUCCAGAGAACAAAACAGGCUCUUGAGUGUCACAAGACAUCAGCCAUCAUCAAACCACUCCCAAGUACGGUGAUUAACUUUUUGUUAUUGAUCACAUAUUUAUUUAUCACCAUAAUUUGCUAUCAGAUCCUUAAAGAGUACACAGAGCGACCACUUGGAUUAUCUAUUCCUAACUUUAUCAUAUUUUAAAAUGAAAAUUACCAGCUUCAAAAUUUAGAUGGGCUUAACAAAUAAGCCUUUCCGUUUUAACCAUAAGGUCGAAGGUCCAUGGUUUCUAUCGUUCAAGAUGAUUAUUUUAGCUCUCAUUCAUUUUAAGAACUCUAUAUUUGAACUUGUGUUUAGUUCUUUUGCUAUUUUUAAUUGUCUUAUUUAAUGUUGAAUCAUUUACCUAAUUCAUCCUUCUUAAAAAAUAUGCAAAACCAUUAUUCCUAAUCAUGGAAUCCCAGAAACCACCCACAGUGACAAUGGCAGCCAUUUUGUAAAUGAUGUAAUAAGUAAAAAGUGUUUAGACUUAGUGAAAAUGUGCAUGGGAAUCACGCCUACUCUGACAGGCCUGACCCCAUAUGAAAUCAUUUCAGAUUCCCAGUUUUCUCACCAGACUUAGAGAAGAAGAGCAAACAUUAGCAGACUACAUGAGGAAACUACUAAAAACAAAUGAAAUGCACCAACAACUUUCACUGCCUGCAGAUUCUUUGUCUCCACAGGAACAAGAACCAGUGAAACCUGGGGACUGGGUGUUCAUUAAAGUCAUCAAAAGAAAAACAUGGUCCAGUCCAAAGUGGGAGGGACCAUUUAAGUACUCCUGACCACCCCCGCCACAGUGAAGAUAGCUGAGAGAUCAACAUGGAUCCACCUCAGUCACAGUAAGCUGCAGAGUGUCCUGGGAAACUAACACAUAGGUGAGGGGUGAAGAAUCCGGAGGCAUCUGUAAAGAAUGAGUAGUUUACAUCUUACUUUAUGAACCAUAAAAUGUGAGAUUCCAUAGAAAUAUGAAAUAUCAAUCUGACGGACCUUUGACUAUUUUAACCAGAAGAUUGGAUCUUUUUAUUGCAGGGAUUAAGCAACACUUCGUAUUAACUCCAAGGAGAGAGAGUCAGGUUUAAAAUAGUUAAGAAAUUUAUUUCUACACAAUUUAAACAAGACUAACUUUAACACUCUGUGUACUGAUGGACUAAGGUGGAGUGAGACAUGAUGAAUGAUGGUGUGUGUGUGGAAUGUUAUUAUCAGAACCAGCAGAUCUGGAGAAGCAGUUAGUUGUGAGUGGGAGUGAAUGUUUCGCUCUAAACUUUAGUCGGAGAUUUAUAACACACGAGACACCAUCUGUUGGUCUACGUACCCAGGGGAAGCCUCCGUUAGAUCCAGAAUGUCGAGGUCCUCUUGGACCCUCCUUGGUACCGAAGCCGGUAGAAAAGCAGCGAGGCCGACCAAACUAGUCUUGGAAUGCUUCCAGGUCACGACAGGUUAUCACUGGCGUCUCCGAGACCCUGAAGGGGUCGUGAGGUUCAGCUUUUAUUCUGAAGGAGCCGUUGCUGUCAGGUGUAACUUGCAACAGAUUUUAUCCAGCUUGUCGAGGUUCUAUAUGGCUGAAGAGGAAGUCCGGAUGGCCGGUCCGAGACUUCUCUAGAACGCUUUGAACUAAAGAAAAGGUGGCGUGGGAUAGUUUUUAUAAUUGUCAUAUUUUGGUUUACUGGCGAAUCAGAAUUUGACGUGCAAAAGAGGGUUUAUACAAACACCACAGAUAACCACGCCUAGCCAGAAACGAAGGUUCUGAUUGGAUCAGACAAAAGGAAAUGUGUCGUGUGACUUUAGCAUUAUGUGUCAUUAGUGUCUAGUGCAAAUGUCCAAGAUUAUAAUUACUUGUAAAAUACUACUGAUCACAUGAUUAUAACAUCAAGUAAUAACAUUGUCAUUUCACAGAUUGAUUGAACAUUGGGCUCACAUUAUUAUUGGUAAUAACAAAGUUGUUGAUUAUGUAUUUAUCGAGAGAGUUCUUCGUCUUUGUCUUGAGCUGUAACAGAGGUGAAGCAGUUCAGAUGAGCAGAGUGCAUGAAAGACCUUGGCCACAAUCUCAUGUAGAUUAAGCUGUCAGAGACUUUAUGUCUCUGCUCGAGCAGACGCAGCAGAUCAUGACCUUUAGGUCAUAAACAGGACAUUCAUGACGCUACACCUCUCACCUAACUUAAGGUUAGUGUCCCUAGGAGCUCUGUCAGCCUAGCCGCAAGGAUGGAGCCAUACCAGAAGUGUUGGCUCGCUAGCGGCAUGGUGAUGCUGGUAGGAAUAAUGAUAAUGAAACUUUGUUGCUUGUCUACAAGAAAGAGGUUAAUGGUGUUCAUAACCUCACAUGACCUCUCCUGCAGAACACGAUGGGUCCCCCACGAGUUUCCCACCAACUCCUAGUGGAAGUUCAUGAACUUCACCACUCACGACAACAAUAGGACCAACUGUUAUGCCUGCUCACACAUGCCUAAGUCCUUUCAGAACUACGGGCUGUGGCCCUACAACCUCACAGGGUUAAAAAGCCAUAUGGCUGUUUGGACUGUCAAUACAGCCAGGGGGACAGACCUGGAGUAGAGCCAAUUUCUCCAUCCUCCUCAACAUCACCUCCCUGGGAAGCCCUCUGAGUGAUUCCCCCUGCGAGGGACAGCGGAUGGGCCCAACUUCCAAGAUCACUCCCAAGCCUGGUAAUGACCAGCCACCUCCCAGACAAAUUUUUCCCUGUCUGUGGUAGCCAACGGAUCUAGAUGGGUGGGAAAACUCCCCCUGCACCUCUGCAACCUCCUUUUUCAGGACUGCUCACAAAAUGUGACUCUUAGGAACCAAAGCUGCACCUACGAGGCCCACCACCGGCUGGUCCUGAACAAAAGCACCACCAACUGCUCUCAACUAACCCCGCCUCCCCAGGGCACCAGAGUUUUGAGCGACUUCUACUGGCUUUGUGACAACAAAGCCUGGAUCUCCCUACCGCACAACUAGUGUCAGAGUCUUUACAGCAAUCCUCAUUCUAAACAAGCAUAUAGCGACAGUGGAGAGGAAAACUCCCUUUUAACAGGAAGAAACCUCCAGAGAAUCCUGGCUCAGUAUAAGCAGCCAUCCUCCACGACUCACUGGGGAACGAGAAGACAGAGCAGGCACACACACACACACACACACACACACACACACACACACACACACACACACACACACACACAUAUACCAAGUAAUAUUUCUAUGGUUACAUUAUGAUUUCUUAGUAAAUAUUCUAUUUGGUGAGAGAUAAACUUUAUUGUAUUUAUCCUAGUGGAUCUAUAAUUAAACGGGUAAACUAGUAGUAGCACAUUCAACGUCAAAGAGAGUAAAAAGUUAUUAUCAGGAGAGGGAGAAAGUUUAAAUGGUUAGCAGCAGUGUGCUAGAUCAGGGAUUCCCAAAGUGUGGGGUGCGUGAGCUGCCGCUAGGGGGUGCGCGAGGUGAAAAGUGUAAUGGCUGCGGAGCUCAGAGAAGUCUGUCAGAUGUCACCAUUAGCGUAGAAACUCAUUUGUGGGUGGGCCAAAGAAAAAGUAAGUGGACACAAUAAAUGUAAUUGAAAACAAGUAUAUUUUUGCGUGCGCGUGUGCGUCCUCCACAUGUGUUCUAGCUUCAUAAUAACAAUGCGCCGAGCUUCAGCACUCUGGCCUGCGCACGCCGAUAUGUUCCGUAUUUGAUCAUUUUUAACGGUUUUGGAGAAAUCUGAAGGUGGCGAGUCAUUCUGGCAGAUUGUAAUUAACACCUUGUCUCAUGCAGGUGUUCUGACAUUGUAAACCUCACACACAGAACAUUGUGGAUGUAAAUAAAUAACAAGAAAUGAUUCCCAUUCAGGCUAUUAACAGCGUGCCGGAGAUCUGAAGUUCAGAGUGCGUCUGUCAGAGGUCAGACGCGUGCCAGCGGAACCACGGCUCACGGGUGCACAAGUGAGCACGUCUGGGCUGGGCAGAAGUCAUUUUACAACAUUGGUUUAAAUAGCGCUAAUAACGAGAUGCGGUGACUGGAGCGGCUCAUGGAGCUGUGCCGUGCGCGCGCGCACACACACACACACACACACACACACACACACACACAGAUUCAAUAAGAGCGCACGCUGCGCAAACUCCGGCGCCCCAGAAAUGAGUGCUGCGUCCUCUGUGAUAAAAACUUUAAAGAGGUUUUGUAACAUUUUUCAUUCCAGGUCAAAUUAAGAUAUUAGCUUCUAUUUUGGGAUGACGUAUUAAAGUCGGGUCUGCUCCAGCAGUGACUGACUACAACCCCUGUUGCAGCAUUUGUUGUUCCAGUCCGCGUGGCAGCGGAUUGCAGAUUCAGCCACCAUAAAACAGCAAUUAGUCGGUCUGAGGCAAAAGUGAACCUCAUGGCUUUUCCAUCUUUUCCCCUAUAGACAUUUGAUUACGCACAAGUAGGUGACCAGUUCAGGUUUACGCAGAACAGAAGGAAGGAGAGCGCUCUGGCCGCACAGGUUAAACGUUCCUACUUUAAGAAAACCAUUAAAUUGCAUUGUUUAUGUUCUACCUGGGCACUCUAAAUAUUUAUUUAAAAUUAAAUCAAAGGAAAUUGUAAUGGUAUCGAAUGUUUAUUAAUUACUAUUUAAAAAAUGAAAGCUAUGGGGAACAAGGUCGAUCAUAUUUUUUUAACCGUGUCUGUUUAGC